ensembl:lncRNA
UACUUCCACUGCUCAGUCCCAUCAACCCUUACUCAGUAAGAAGGACCUGUGGCUACAAGGUCCAGAACCAGAUUUCACAGAUUUGUUUUUGGGUAUUUGAUUUGCAAGCAAUGCAGUCAUCUCCUAUACUUCUGGCUCUGAUAAGAGACAGUAGCUCAGAUCACUCCAGAGAGGCCACACCGGUGCUGCAGUGGUAUUAAUGGUCUUUUGAGGACAUCAUGUCCAAGUCCUCCACCUGGCCAGAAAAAUAUUUUACAAGACAGUGUAAGAUUGGAGGAUAAUUAGAUUGCACUGAGAGAGUACCUUCACCUAUAACAUUAGGAUCACUAAGCAACAUGGCUGGUAGAUGUUGCUGUAUGGGACAACGUUAAAAAGGGAUCCUCAGACUUUUAGAUGUGGGUAAUCAUUGUCUGACUGGGUAAGAAUGGAACUCAGCUCCCUUCUCCCAUGCAAGCGGGAGAUAGGGAGCAAUCCCUGAGAUGGUCCAUCCCAACUAAUACAGGGGUGGUAGAUGGACAUAGAUAGGCAUGGCAGAUGCUUGUCCCCUGCUGCAGUUAGGGACUGUGAAAGCUGGAGCUUCAAAAAAAAUCCAGAGAAAGACAGAAAGAAAAGCCAGACAGCAGAUGUCCUAAAGGCUAAGAAUGGCAAACACCAGCAGGUAGAGCAGACUCUACCUCCUUUUAGCCCCCAAAUGCAGAAGACUUCUGGUAUCAGUUGCUUUGAGUCACAUGAGAGAAUGGAUGAGGAGCUGAUUAAGAAAAGUGCUUUUUAAAAGUUGUUCGAAUGUAGAGUUCCCAGCCGAUGUGGCAGAAAGCAAAGGACGUCAGCAAAUCUUAUUAAUAUGCUGAUGCUAUGGCUUCAGAAGUGUACAGAAUGCCCAUUUGGAUCAGGGCUAAGAGCACAGCAUGGAGUUGCUAUGGAGACGUGGGGAGGCCAUUAAUUAGCUCUCACAUGAAAUCAUCAGGAAGGGUCCGAACCACGGCAGCUCUGCCCUCCUCGGAAGCCAAGGGCACGGCCCUGCUGACCCCCAGCCUCCCCUCUGCAGCUCCAACAGCCGUGUCCUGGAGCAGACGUGUCCUGCAGGCAUCAGAGGCUUGGAUGAAAGCCCAUUGAAGACUAUUCGAAUUUUCUGACUGACUUCUGGAAGAUAUUGUUGAAAGGACAAAGCACUAAGUAUAACACAACUCAGCAACAGCUUUCUGCCUGGGGUUUGGGGAUGGGCUAAGUGACUUCUACUUAUCCUCUCGCUAGGCUUUAGUUUCUCUGACUCUCUGAAACUUGAGAAAACCAUCUCAGCACCAUUUUGAAGGACAAAGACCUGCCGAUUCCAGGAGGAAGCACAGAACAGUCCUUUGAAAGGGUCAUCUACUGAGAAGUAAACUUUCUUACAUACGUAGCUCUGAAUUUUGAAAGUAGCUCAGGGCAAAUGUGGGUAAUGUUGAAACUGGUUUAUUUCUGUCAGAAAGUUAGGCUUUUAGUUGAAGCUAGUCAUUUAAGCCGUAGAAAGAGAGGCUGUUGCCUUCGAAGGAUGAAUCAUGCACCCACUUUAGGCACUGCACAUUGGAAAAGGUGACUCACCCUCUGGAAAUGCCUCCCUUUCUCUCCACAGCCAUUAGAUGAAACCUGGAUCACCAGCUUAGACACCCCAACUUUUAAAUGGCUAAAACUAGGUACAAGUAAUCCUUCCUGAAGAAGACACAGAGAUUAACAUGCUUCCCAGAACAGCACUAGGAUGGAUAUCACACCACUGUUGUUCCAUCUGUAGGAUGCUUGAGGCAGGUGAAGGUCUUGCUGCCCAGCAGUGGGUCAGGCCAGAUUCAGGCUUAAUCUCAGCUGAGCUCUCCUGUGAAACAGCAGCCCUGCUUUCUGCUUGUAAUGUUAUAACAUAAAGGAAAGUACAGCAAUAAAAACAAGGCAGUAAAAUCCUAAGCUGCACCCUUGUCUCCCUCCUGCCAACCCUUAAAUGAGGUCUGGGAAGGGGUAGAUCCUGGCUCCACCCCUUCCACUCACUCAGGUGCAUUGCAUACACCUGAGCAUCCCUAGGUUGGCCCUGCCUUUCCACCAGGUGCUCAAUCACUGCUUCAGGCUGUGACUUAGCAUUUCUGUGACCGUGCUGUAGGGCAUAGAGCCCUCAGAGCCCAGGGUGUCUUCAAAAACCCUUUACCUCCUGUUCUCCACCAUGCCACUUGGACACCACACACAUGGGCUGUGAUGCCUUCUUUCCAUCCUGAGUUCACUAACUCUGUUCCAACAUCUCCAGCAAGUUUGGCUUGGUGUCUCUGAUACUACACCCCAAGAUCCUGUGAGCAGAUGGGAAUUGAGAACAGCGCUCAGCAGCAUUUCUCAGAUGUGCCUGCAGCUGGGCUGGCUGUGCCCAUCCCUGCUGUGUCAGCCUGGAAGCACCAGUCCAGCACUUGACAAUAUUCCUGGAGCACGGCCAAUUCUCUGAUGACAGCGCAUGAGAGCAGUGUUCACGUUUCCCAUUUCCACAAAGCCACGUGACAGAAAAGAAGUCAGGACUGGUACUUGCUUUUUCAUGCUCAGAGUUUCUCCCUUGCAUUCUGUUGAGGGCUGCAUCAUUAUAUUCAUUUAUAAAAGUGACCUGAAGACAAAUGCGCACAAGCCUUCUUGCCUUCCCAUUGCUAUCUUGGAGGCAAGGCUCCAGUUUUUAGCCAUAUGACACAGUGAGAUAAGCCUUACAAUAAAAAGCAAACAAUGCAAGGCCAGCCCCGGGCCUCCAAGUCGCGAUCUCCGUUUGUUCAGCAUUUUCCCAGAAGGUUGUUGGAGAUACCUGUGGGUACGGCUGAAUGCAGAGAGUCGACUUUGCAGAAGCAAAGAGCACAGCAUUCUGGGUUAUUAAACCAUUUGUCUUACAGCCCCGGGGAAAAUGAGUUUGCUACAGAAAGUCACUAAUGGACCGAGUUUCCUCAUCUCAAGCUUUCUUCUCUGCGUUUCGCAGCAUCCCCAGCUUGGCACCAUUGUAAGCAUGAGCACCAACUUGUGUUGAGAAGAGAGCAGAGACCGAGAAAUGCAAAAGAGGGAUGUGUCAGAAAAGCUAUUUUUGAAACUGUCUCUGGCUCUUGACUGCAUUAUCUCCAGAUCUCCCCUCGACUGCAUUUUUUCAUCGUUCAUGCUGCAUCUGCAGAAGAAAAACACGGCAUGUUUUCUUACAGAAAAAUGUGGCUCUCCGUUAGUUCACGUUUCCAAGAAAUGAAGAUUUACCUGAAAAACCAAACAAAGCCGAUAACGCUGGAUACGGGGAUGAAGGAUGCACGGGAUUUUGAAUAGGGAGCAGUGAUACGCGAGUUCCAUCCUAUUAAUCCUUUGUAUCGCAGAUGCUCUCCUCAGCAUCCUCCUGGG